rnacentral:rRNA from 1 species
GGCCGUGCGGCAGCUAUACAUGCAGUCGUACGCUUCUUUUUCCACCGGAGCUUGCUCCACCGGAAAAAGAAGAGUGGCGAACGGGUGAGUAACACGUGGGUAACCUGCCCAUCAGAAGGGGAUAACACUUGGAAACAGGUGCUAAUACCGUAUAACAAUCGAAACCGCAUGGUUUUGAUUUGAAAGGCGCUUUCGGGUGUCGCUGAUGGAUGGACCCGCGGUGCAUUAGCUAGUUGGUGAGGUAACGGCUCACCAAGGCCACGAUGCAUAGCCGACCUGAGAGGGUGAUCGGCCACAUUGGGACUGAGACACGGCCCAAACUCCUACGGGAGGCAGCAGUAGGGAAUCUUCGGCAAUGGACGAAAGUCUGACCGAGCAACGCCGCGUGAGUGAAGAAGGUUUUCGGAUCGUAAAACUCUGUUGUUAGAGAAGAACAAGGAUGAGAGUAACUGUUCAUCCCUUGACGGUAUCUAACCAGAAAGCCACGGCUAACUACGUGCCAGCAGCCGCGGUAAUACGUAGGUGGCAAGCGUUGUCCGGAUUUAUUGGGCGUAAAGCGAGCGCAGGCGGUUUCUUAAGUCUGAUGUGAAAGCCCCCGGCUCAACCGGGGAGGGUCAUUGGAAACUGGGAGACUUGAGUGCAGAAGAGGAGAGUGGAAUUCCAUGUGUAGCGGUGAAAUGCGUAGAUAUAUGGAGGAACACCAGUGGCGAAGGCGGCUCUCUGGUCUGUAACUGACGCUGAGGCUCGAAAGCGUGGGGAGCAAACAGGAUUAGAUACCCUGGUAGUCCACGCCGUAAACGAUGAGUGCUAAGUGUUGGAGGGUUUCCGCCCUUCAGUGCUGCAGCUAACGCAGUAAGCACUCCGCCUGGGGAGUACGACCGCAAGGUUGAAACUCAAAGGAAUUGACGGGGGCCCGCACAGGCGGUGGAGCAUGUGGUUUAAUUCGCAGCAACGCGAAGACCUUACCAGUCUUGACAUCCUUUGACCACUCCUACAGAUAGAGCUUCCCCUUCGGGGGCAAAGUGACAGGUGUGCAUGGUUGUCGUCAGCUCGUGUCAUGAAAAUGUUGGGGUAAGUCCGCACGACGCUACCUUUAUUGCUAGUUGCCAUCAUUCGAUGGUCACUCUGCCAGACUGCCGGUGAACAACCGGAAGGAAGUG